rnacentral:sRNA from 1 species
AAAAAGGCCCGCGCUGCGCGGGCAA